rnacentral:rRNA from 1 species
AGUGAACGCUGGCGGUAGGCCUAACACAUGCAAGUCGAACGGCAGCACAGUAAGAGCUUGCUCUUACGGGUGGCGAGUGGCGGACGGGUGAGGAAUACAUCGGAAUCUACUUUUUCGUGGGGGAUAACGUAGGGAAACUUACGCUAAUACCGCAUACGACCUACGGGUGAAAGCAGGGGAUCUUCGGACCUUGCGCGAUUGAAUGAGCCGAUGUCGGAUUAGCUAGUUGGCGGGGUAAAGGCCCACCAAGGCGACGAUCCGUAGCUGGUCUGAGAGGAUGAUCAGCCACACUGGAACUGAGACACGGUCCAGACUCCUACGGGAGGCAGCAGUGGGGAAUAUUGGACAAUGGGCGCAAGCCUGAUCCAGACAUACCGCGUGGGUGAAGAAGGCCUUCGGGUUGUAAAGCCCUUUUGUUGGGAAAGAAAAGCAGCAGGUUAAUACCCCGCUGUCCUGACGGUACCCAAAGAAUAAGCACCGGCUAACUUCGUG